ensembl:lncRNA
CUCAGCGAUAACCACUUGAACAAAGGAAAUUUGACUCUUACCCUAUUUCCAUACGUUACUAGAAUCCCUCCUAAAUGCUGAUGUGUUUUAAAUUGGAUCAUCAAGUAUCCUGAUACCCAGAUCAUUUACCACACCAGUCUAAAAACACGUCCUAAAACCUUGAAAUAAUGCCUUUUCCCCAAGAAUUAGCUGGCAGUGUCAAAACACUUUCAUUUCUAUCCAUACAUGCAUUAAACAUCUGCAGGUAGGAGUCAAAGCAUCUCUAAAGCCCUCUGAUUAACACUUGUGUUAACGCUUGGUGUGUUUGCUUAAUCCACACAUAAACUAAGAAUAAAAAUGAAGAUCAGUGCAUUUCAUUCUGAUUUUACAAGUGUAUGUAAUUUGUUAAAAUCCUCUGUAAUGAAGAAAUAGUUUUCUCAUUAAGCUAAACUUGCAUUCAGGGCAGAAUAUACUUCUCUGUGUAAUUCUAUCUGUAUUUCUCUGCUACAGAGCAGCUGCUAUGGCCAACAUGCUGAAGGGUGUAGAAAGGCCUCGCAUGAAGUCGAUUCAAUAUCACAUAUACUACACCUUAAAACAAAACAAAAGAGCACAAUGUUAUUGCCCGAAAACCCCCAGUAAUAGCCAAUUAGAUCAUCAAAAACCUUAUUCCCAGCAACACACCCUCGCACAAAUACACACAGCCAGGGCUCCCAAAAAAACAAACAAAAAAAAAACAAAAAACAAGGAACCCUAGGGCUGUUAAACUUUAAAGCUCCUGCUUCAAAAACUACAUAAAAUAAAUAAUCUGACUAAAGCCAUAACCCUGGGAGACCUCGCUCACUGCCUGAUAAUUGUCCUCUUUCAUGACACAAUCCAUCCAGAACAUUAGGCCUGUGUUCACAGGCCUGCUGGGUGAUAUCACAUAGGGCAAUCGCAAAUGAGGGAGGGGGUGGCUUCAGAGAGGUUGACCUCCACAGGGAACUCUACAGCCCCGUGCUUAUCCGACCGUAGGGAUCUGGGCCCACAUAAACAAUUUCAAAGACAAGGCAAGAUUGUUGCAAACAGACAGUUACACUGCUGGGGCCGAUUAUACACUCAUAAACUGUACACAUGCAUGAUUAUACACGCAAAAACCCACAAACUCACACACGGGCUUUGGUUCUUCACUCAGUCUUUCUUUGAGGCAAUUGCUGGUUUCAAACAGGAUCUAUAAAAGAUGAAACAACCUUUGCACUCGUCUCCCUCUGAUGUUCAGAGACAUACCUGCAGCCAGUGUUAUUAGUUACUGCUUGUAUUGAUAUGCGCCGUGCCCAAUGCAGCGUGUUGGCGGGUAAAACCACUAUGUGUUUCUCCCACGUCUCUUCCCUUUGGACAAACAGACGCACUUUGGCCUCCAACCGCAGCGUUGUGUGGGAUAUGUGCGUCUAAUUGGGUCUCCGAAUAACAGCAGAAAGAGGAAAAGUUCAUCAAGUUUAGCAUCCAAACUGCACAGGUUCAGCCAAACGAUUCAUCGGAGGAUUGCGGACAAACGCAUGUUUGACUGAAUAAAC